GUCUCUGUGGCGCAAUUGGUUAGCGCGUUCGGCUGUUAAUCGAAAGGGUUGCUGGUUCAAGCCCAGCCAGGGACG
rnacentral:tRNA from 1 species